UAGGACCCACAAGGAUCAGUCCAGCUCCUGGCUCCACACAGAAUCACCCAAAGCUUAAACCCUACAUCUGAGAAUGCUGGGCCUGAUGCACCUUGAAAACUAAAAAGAGUAAAACAGUGACUCUGAAUUCAAGACACUCUGAAUGACUUUGGUCAUUAGACAUAUUUAAAUGCCUGGUAUUAAGCGGUUCAGCAUGAAGACACUAGAUCUGCUUCUGGCCUUCUAACUACAGUGAGGGAUACUGAGUCUCUAUGUAAUAUCUAGCAUAAGAAUUAGGGCUGCAGCAAUCAGCCUUGAUCUUAGAACUAGUACUGUAUCUCAGCUUCCCCAAGGCAUUAGAAACUCUUUUUUCCAGAACUGCAGGCUCUUUGGUCCUCUGGCUGGAGACAUCUACAGUGAGAGGGUACUCUCUUAACGACUUCGGAACAUCAAGAUAUCACAUUAAUUUUGGAGGAUCCUUUUUGCCCUAAAGAUCUUGACAGAAGAAGAGUCUCUAACAGAAGAAACAAAAGCAAAAACAUGCUGGCACGUGUGACCUACAAGGAAAGAAUUUGCUCUGAUUUUGCAAGCAGAAGUAUAUGAUCGCGGACUACAGCAUCUAAAGAAAGCAAGAUUCAUUGUUAAAUCCUUCUCGUGACAACUUGACGACAAUGUGUGAACAAGACUUUGCCUCAUUAGACACUAACAGAUGAUUAGAGAAAGAUAUCACACUGGUGCUCUUUAAUUUGAUGAUGCUACUUUAUUCUUGGUAUUCCUGUCUCAUUUCAGCUUCUCAUAUAAUCAGUGAAGAGAGGUAGGUCCCAAACUACAGACUAAGCCCUCUCCAUUGAACAGAAAAACAGAUACCAUUUCUGAUAGGCACCUAAAUAAAAUGCUCUAAUUUAUA